CCUACGGGAGGCAGCAGUGGGGAAUUUUGCGCAAUGCUCGUAAGAGUGACGCAGCGACGCCGCGUGAAUGACGAAGGCCUUCGGGUUGUAAAGUUUUUUCGACAGGGAAGAAAAUGCCUAUAAGUAACUGUGUAUGUAUUGACGGUACCUGUAUGAGCAGCCCCGGCUCACUCCGUCCCAGCAGCCGCGGUAAUACGGAGGGGGCGAGCGUUGUUCGGAGUGAGUGGGCGUAAAGAGCACGUGGGCGGUGUUGUAAGUCAUUAGUCAAAGACUAGAGCUCAACUUUAGUAAAGCUAGUGAUACUAUAAUACUAGAGUAUCAGAGAGGAAUGCAGAAUGCCUGGUGUAGCGGUGAAAUGCGUAGAUAUCAGGAGGAAUACCGUUAGCGAAGGCGGCAAUCUGGCUCGAAACUGACGCUGAGGUGCGAAAGCGUGGGUAGCGAACAGGAUUAGAUACCCGGGUAGUC
rnacentral:rRNA from 1 species